rnacentral:rRNA from 1 species
GUGGGGAAUAUUGGACAAUGGGCGCAAGCCUGAUCCAGCCAUGCCGCGUGCAGGAAGACGCAUCUAUGGUGUGUAAACUGCUUUUGUACGGGAAGAAACACUCCCUCGUGAGGGAGCUUGACGGUACCGUAAGAAUAAGGAUCGGCUAACUCCGUGCCAGCAGCCGCGGUAAUACGGAGGAUCCAAGCGUUAUCCGGAAUCAUUGGGUUUAAAGGGUCCGUAGGCGGUUUAAUAAGUCAGUGGUGAAAGCCCAUCGCUCAACGAUGGAACGGCCAUUGAUACUGUUAGACUUGAAUUACAAGGAAGUAACUAGAAUAUGUAGUGUAGCGGUGAAAUGCUUAGAUAUUACAUGGAAUACCAAUUGCGAAGGCAGGUUACUACUUGUGGAUUGACGCUGAUGGACGAAAGCGUGGGGAGCGAACAGGAUUAGAAACCCGUGUAGUCC